rnacentral:rRNA from 1 species
CGCGUAGGCGGUUUGCCAAGUCCGGGGUGAAAUCUUUCGGCUCAACCGGAAAAGUGCCUUGGAUACUGGCGAACUUGAGGGAGGUAGGGGCAUGUGGAACUUCCGGUGGAGCGGUGAAAUGCGUUGAUAUCGGAAGGAACGCCGGUGGCGAAAGCGACGUGCUGGCCCUCUUCUGACGCUGAGGCGCGAAAGCUAGGGGAGCAAACG